UUUGUAACCCCACACUUUGGCUGAUUAGCAAAUCAGACCCCACACUUUGAAACGUGACAGUUUGUAACCCUAAGUUUCAUUUUGCUUUCGGUUUGUAACCCUCCGUUAAAAACAGCCGUUAACUUUAACUAUUUGAGAGGUAACAGUGUGUAUAUUAGUUCCUAACAGCUACUUUACCGCAUGUGACCCCUCAAAAUUUAUGUAUUAUAUUUUGAAAUUAAUUCU
rnacentral:lncRNA from 1 species